UCAAGGCCCAGGGAUUUUCCUCAGUGAGAGCAGGAGUGUAUUUUUAGGAGGGUGAACAGGGAUGGAUGGAUGGACAGAGGCAGCUGGAGAUGGAAGAGUGUGGAGCAGCAGCAGCAGCAGCAACAGACUAAUGGUUUUCCCCACACUGCUGCUCUGAACAUGACCUCAGAGGAGGAGGAGGCCUUGAGGAGCUCUCUGUUGACAGCACACAACCGUGUGCCCCCUACUGGUCAUAUGGUGUAUUACUUGUAUUUAGUAAUACAGAAGAUACAAAGGUUCUUUAAUGACUUUUGCAACAACUAUAAUAGAGAUUUGUGUGAUGUAAUUUCACACAAUGAGCAUUUUCUUCUCCGUUUUGAGAUGAGUUUGGAGUUGAGGCAACUGAUACUGUCUUUUCAGUAUGUUUUUUAUCUGUACAAAAGGUCAACGAUUAUUCCACAUUGAAUCUUAUUUCCAAAUCUAAAAAAACAAACAAA